rnacentral:rRNA from 1 species
UACGGAAGGCAGCAGGGGGAAUAUUGCACAAUGGGCGCAAGCCUGAUGCAGCCAUGCCGCGUGUAUGAAGAAGGCCUUCGGGUUGUAAAGUACUUUCAGCGGGGAGGAAGGCGGUGAAGUUAAUAGCUUCACCGAUUGACGUUACCCGCAGAAGAAGCACCGGCUAACUCCGUGCCAGCAGCCGCGGUAAUACGGAGGGUGCAAGCGUUAAUCGGAAUUACUGGGCGUAAAGCGCACGCAGGCGGUCUGUCAAGUCGGAUGUGAAAUCCCCGGGCUUAACCUGGGAACUGCAUUCGAAACUGGCAGGCUAGAGUCUUGUAGAGGGGGUAGAAUUCCAGGUGUAGCGGUGAAAUGCGUAGAGAUCUGGAGGAAUACCGGUGGCGAAGGCGGCCCCUGGGACAAAGCUGACGCUCAGGGUGCGAAAGCGUGGGGAGCGAAACAGGGAUUAGAUACC